CGCACAUUGCGCCCUUUGGCAUUCCUUAGGGCAUGCCUGUUCGAGCGUCAUUUAGCACAUUCAAGCCCAGCUUGGUGAUGGGUGUCUGUCCCGCCUCUCGGGCGUGGACUCGCCUUAAAAACGGUUGGCAGCUUCAUCUUUCGGUCCUGAACGCAGCAGACUUGCGCCGGAACCCGCGGAAAGAGGCUCUCCAAUAAGCAAAAUGGUACGCUGGACCUCGGAUCAGGUAGGGAUACCCGCUGAACUUAA
rnacentral:misc_RNA from 1 species